GAGCACGUAGGUGGGUUUGUAAGUCAGUUGUGAAAGCCUUCUGCUUAGCGGAAGAACAGCAUCUGAUACUGCAAGGCUAGAGUGCGGAAGGGGAGAGUGGAACUUCUGGUGGAGCGGUGAAAUGCGUAGAUAUCAGAAGGAACACCGGCGGCGAAGGCGACUCUCUGGUCCGUAACUGACGCUGAGUGUGCGAAAGCUAGGGGAGCAAACGGGAUUAGAUACCCCGGUAGUCCUAGCCGUAAACGAUGGGCACUAAGUAGAGGAAUCGU
rnacentral:rRNA from 1 species